UGGGGAAUAUUGGGCCAUGGGCGAAAGCCUGACCCAGCAACGCCGCGUGAGGGAAGAAGGUUUUCGGAUUGUAAACCUCUGUCUUAGGGGACGAAAAAAAUGACGGUACCCUAAGAGGAAGCCCCGGCUAACUACGUGCCAGCAGCCGCGGUAAUACGUAGGGGGCAAGCGUUGUCCGGAAUGACUGGGCUUAAAGGGCGUGUAGGCGGCCGCUUAAGUCUGGCGUGAAAGUCCUGCUUUCAAGGUGGGAAUUGCUUUGGGGACUGGUUGGCUUGAGUGCGGAAGAGGCAAGUGGAAUUCCCAGUGUAGCGGUGAAAUGCGUAGAGAUUGGGAGGAACACCAGUGGCGAAGGCGACGUGCUGGGCCGUAACUGACGCUGAGGCGCGAAAGCGUGGGGAGCGAACA
rnacentral:rRNA from 1 species